CUGUGAUCCGCUGCAUGGUUGAUGGACAGUGGGAGAAGCCUCGAGUGCAAUGCAUAGCCAAGGUCAAAUCCGGACUGCAAAAGGAAUCUUCUGUUUAUCACUCUCAUAAAUCUAAUACAACAACAUUGGAGAAACAUCUCUAAGGAGAUUUGAAGAGCUAGAGAUUCAUUUUUAAAUCAGUAUGAGUUUUAUAUUUAUUUUCCAAGACACUGAAUUAUGAAGCAUUUGUGAUUAAAAAGUGUUAUUUUCAAGA